rnacentral:lncRNA from 1 species
AUGGUGUGUGUGAACAUCCUACCUGUUGCUCUCAAGAGUAUCACCAAUGCCGAAAAGAGAGGGAAACGCCGGUUCUUACUAGGCCAUGCUCCAAAGUCAUUGUCCAACUUCUAGCUGUGAUGAUGAAGCAUCGUUACAUUGGCAAAUUUGAAAUCAUUGAUGAUAACAGAGCUGGGAAAAUUGUGAACCUCACAGGCAGGCUAAACAAGUGUAGAGCCCCAGCUUUGAUUUGCAACUCAAAGAUCUAGAAAAACGGCAGAACAAUCUGCUUCUAUCCCAACCAUUUGACUUCGUCAUAUUGACAGCCUUAGCUGGUAUCAUGGACCAUGAAGAAGCAAGACGAAAACACACAGGAGGGAAAAUCCUUGGAUUUUGUUUCUAG